UACGUAGGGGGCAAGCGUUGUCCGGAAUCAUUGGGCGUAAAGAGCGCGUAGGCGGCCCUGUAAGUCCGCUGUGAAAGUCAAAGGCUCAACCUUUGAAAGCCGGUGGAUACUGUGGGGCUAGAGUACGGAAGAGGCGAGUGGAAUUCCUGGUGUAGCGGUGGAAUGCGCAGAUAUCAGGAGGAACACCAAUAGCGAAGGCAGCUCGCUGGGACGUUACUGACGCUGAGGCGCGAAAGCGUGGGGAGCGAACAGG
rnacentral:rRNA from 1 species